AGGGUGUAAACGCUGCAGACUUGGUGUUGGAAGCCCUUUGGGGGCAUUCAGUGCCGGAGAGAAGUUGUUAAGUCUGCUACUUGGGGAGUACGUCCGCAAGGAUGAAACUUAAAGGAAUUGGCGGGGGAGCACCGCAACGGGAGGAGCGUGCGGUUUAAUUGGAUUCAACACCGUAAAACUCACCAGGGAAGACUGUUACAUGAAAGCCGAGAUGAAGACUCUGCUAGAUUUUCAGAGAGGUGGUGCAUGGCGUCAGUGACU
rnacentral:rRNA from 1 species